rnacentral:rRNA from 1 species
AAUGAACGCUAGCGGCAGGCUUAAUACAUGCAAGUCGAGGGACAGCACAGGUAGCAAUACUGGGUGGUAACCGGCAAACGGGUGCGGAACACGUACACAACCUUCCUUUACGUGGGGGAUAGCCCAGAGACAUUUGGAUUAAUACCCCGUAAUAUAGUUGAAUGGCAUCAUUUGAUUAUUAUAGCUACGGCGCUUAAUGAUGGGUGUGCGGCUGAUUAGAUAGUUGGCGGGGUAACGGCCCACCAAGUCUACGAUCAGUAGCUGAUGUGAGAGCAUGAUCAGCCACACGGGCACUGAGACACGGGCCCGACUCCUACGGGAGGCAGCAGUAAGGAAUAUUGGUCAAUGGACGCAAGUCUGAACCAGCCAUGCCGCGUGAAGGAUUAAGGUCCUCUGGAUUGUAAACUUCUUUUAUUUGGGACGAAAAAGGGCCUUUCUAGGUCAACUGACGGUACCAGAUGAAUAAGCACCGGCUAACUCCGUGCCAGCCGCCGCGGUAACAC